rfam:Schistosoma haematobium scaffold2013_7, whole genome shotgun sequence.
AUUCAGCUGACGAGUCCCAAAUAGGAUAAAUGCGCGUCCUGGAU